rnacentral:rRNA from 1 species
GAUGAACGCUGGCGGCGUGCCUAAUACAUGCAAGUCGAGCGAACAGACGAGGAGCUUGCUCCUCUGACGUUAGCGGCGGACGGGUGAGUAACACGUGGAUAACCUACCUAUAAGACUGGGAUAACUUCGGGAAACCGGAGCUAAUACCGGAUAAUAUAUUGAACCGCAUGGUUCAAUAGUGAAAGACGGUUUUGCUGUCACUUAUAGAUGGAUCCGCGCUGCAUUAGCUAGUUGGUAAGGUAACGGCUUACCAAGGCGACGAUGCGUAGCCGACCUGAGAGGAUGAUCAGCCACACUGGAACUGAGACACGGUCCAGACUCCUACGGGAGGCAGCAGUAGGGAAUAUUCCGCAAUGGGCGAAAGCCUGACGGAGCAACGCCGCGUGAGUGAUGAAGGUCUUCGGAUCGUAAAACUCUGUUAUUAGGGAAGAACAAAUGUGUAAGUAACUAUGCACGUCUUGACGGUACCUAAUCAGAAAGCCACGGCUAACUACGUG